rnacentral:rRNA from 1 species
UUCCGGUUGAUCCUGCCGGACCCUACUGCUAUCGGGGUGGGACUAAGACAUGCGAGUCGAGCGUCUCUAGCUAUGUUGAGACGCGGCAGACGGCUCAGUAACACGUGGCUAACCUACCCUCAGGACAAGGACAAACCCGGGAAACUGGGGCUAAUACUCGAUAGGCGAAGGCGCCUGGAAUGGUUCUUCACCCAAAAGACUUGAAUACAUGCAUUCAAGUCGCCUGGGGAUGGGGCCGCGUCCGAUCAGGUUGUUGGUGAGGUAAUGGCUCACCAAGCCUUUAACCGGUACGGGCCGUGAGAGCGGUAGCCCGGAGAUGGGUACUGAGACAAGGACCCAGGCCCUACGGGGCGCAGCAGUCGCGAAAACUCCGCAAUGCACGAAAGUGUGACGGGGCUACCCCGAGUGCCAUCCGCUGAGGAUGGCUUUUCCUUGGUAUAACUAGCCGGGGGAAUAAGGAGAGGGCAAGACUGGUGUCAGCCGCCGCGGUAAUACCAGCUCCUCGAGUGGUGGGGACUAUUAUUUGGCCUAAAGCGUUCGUAGCCUGUCCAGUAAGUCUUCCGUUAAAUCCAACGAUCCAAUCGUUGGGCUGCGGGAGAUACUAAAGGACUAGGGGGCGGAAGAAGCC